rnacentral:rRNA from 1 species
CCUACGGGUUGCAGCAGUGGGGAAUAUUGCACAAUGGGCGCAAGCCUGAUGCAGCCAUGCCGCGUGUAUGAAGAAGGCCUUCGGGUUGUAAAGUACUUUCAGCGGGGAGGAAGGGAGUAAAGUUAAUACCUUUGCUCAUUGACGUUACCCGCAGAAGAAGCACCGGCUAACUCCGUGCCAGCAGCCGCGGUAAUACGGAGGGUGCAAGCGUUAAUCGGAAUUACUGGGCGUAAAGCGCACGCAGGCGGUUUGUUAAGUCAGAUGUGAAAUCCCCGGGCUCAACCUGGGAACUGCAUCUGAU